UACGGAGGGGGCUAGCGUUGUUCGGAAUUACUGGGCGUAAAGCGCACGUAGGCGGCUUUGCAAGUUAGAGGUGAAAGCCCGGGGCUCAACUCCGGAAUUGCCUUUAAAACUGCAUCGCUAGAAUUGUGGAGAGGUAAGUGGAAUUCCGAGUGUAGAGGUGAAAUUCGUAGAUAUUCGGAAGAACACCGGUGGCGAAGGCGACUUACUGGACACAUAUUGACGCUGAGGUGCGAAAGCGUGGGGAGCAAACAGG
rnacentral:rRNA from 1 species